GUUGAAACUCUUCUUUUUUCCCCUUUCUCUUUUCCAUUUUUCUUGGCUGUUAUUAGCACUGUGUGGUGCUGGCCCUGCCAGCAUGUCCCGUCCUCUGAAGGUGCCCCAUUGCCACAGUGUCCCAUGGGUCUACUGGGGCUGGUGAUAGGCUUUGCUUUGAUCAGCUCUUUAGGAGAAGGUGUAAAUUGCCAGAUAGGGCAGUACCUCAAAACUGCUUUUGUGACCUGCCUCUGAGACACUUUUGAAGGUGAGCCUAAAUCUGUAGCCACACCAGGAUUUAAGUCAUCAUGAAAUAAAACUGCUACUAAAAAUCCCACUCUCUCUGGACUUUCCCCAAGUCUCUCUGGACUUGGUCUGCUCUUUCGUUUGUAGGUCUGUGUCCAGAGACGCAAAUUGUUUCUUCAUGCUGGUCCUGAGGUAGGAUUUGAACUAUGCUGUCCUCUUCUUGUCUACUAUAGGUGAUGUGGAGAGCAGGACUCACCCUUGUCUUUUCACUGAUUGUGCAGUCUGCUGUCCUUAACAGAAGCCUCAGCUCCUGUUGCCUGAAGCAAGGUCUCUGGAGGCUGAAAAUCAGCAGGACAGGAGAUGGUACCUCCCAUUGUCCAUGGAUUAGCUGCUGAACUUCAAACAUGUAUUUCAAAAGUAAUAAGAGCAAACCUGGGGCAGCAGACCCUGCUCCCUUCUGUACUUUUCCUGCAUGGAGCCAACAGCAGCUGUGACAUUUUCCAGCUCAGAAUCCAGCACAAUCCAGCACUAUACAGAUAUACAGAUAUACAGAUAUACAGUAUGUGUUCCAUACUUGUCUCUACCAGCCUCUGA
rnacentral:lncRNA from 1 species